AAUUGGACUAUUAUAUAAAUAGCCAUAAAAUAAAUUGUAGACGUAACAGAACAUCGUUCUUUUUAAAACAGAAUCUUCAUUUUCCAUACGGCCAUCUAGGGAUUGUUUGAUAUUUUUUUUACCUUUUCCAUAUCGGCGCUGCCCGUCUUUUGAUUAACAUCACACUGUUGAUCUGUUUUGCGAUUUCUACACGGUUGGUUGAUUACAGGUGUGUUCUCUUCCUGUCCCCCGAUUUCUUGGUGAGAUUUCUUUCAUUCCAAAAAUUGAGGGGGUCGCCCCCUGAUAACAUUAGUUGGCCGCUCCCAAUUUAGAAAACUGUCUGUUCUUGGUAUAAUUGGUAUUACUAUUGAAUCAUUCACCCUUUAGGCCUCAAUAUAUAUAUACUUAUUAACUCUCCCUAAUUCCUAUCUCUAAUAGUCUAAUCUUUUAUUUAUCUUUCUGUAAGACUUUUAAUUUGCUUUUAUCUUAAUCAAAUACCCCACUUAAAAAAUGAAAAAAAAUAGAUUAGAAUUGUAUUAAUCUAAAUACUUUAUUUAUGCUUUAUGAAUUAUUAUAAUUUAUUUAUACUUAUAAAAUGUAAAUUAUUAUUUUUAGCAGAGCACUACAUCUCUAUUUUUUAACAGAACACUACAUAAAAUGAAUCAUGAUUACAAGACACGUGUAUUUCUAUUUUUUAGGGAACGGAUACAUCUCAAUAUNNN
rnacentral:lncRNA from 1 species